AUUGAACGCUGGCGGAAUGCUUUACACAUGCAAGUCGAACGGCAGCACGGACUUCGGUCUGGUGGCGAGUGGCGAACGGGUGAGUAAUGUAUCGGAACGUGCCCAGUCGUGGGGGAUAACGUAGUGAAAAUUACGCUAAUACCGCAUACGAUCUAUGGAUGAAAGCGGGGGGUCGCAAGACCUCGCGCGAUUGGAGCGGCCGAUAUCAGAUUAGGUAGUUGGUGGGGUAAAGGCCCACCAAGCCAACGAUCUGUAGCUGGUCUGAGAGGACGACCAGCCACACUGGAACUGGUAACCGGUCCAGACUCCUACGGGAGGCAGCAGUGGGGAAUUUUGAACAAGGGGCGAAAGCCUGAUCCAGCCACUCCGCGUGCAGGAUGAAGGCCCUCGGGUUGUAAACUGCUUUUGUACAGAACGAAAAGGUUUCUACUAAUACUAGGAGCUCAUGACGGUACUGUAAGAAUAAGCACCGGCUAACUACGUGCCAGCAGCCGCCGUAA
rnacentral:rRNA from 1 species